AGAUUAAGUUAUUAAGGGCGCACGGUGGAUGCCUUGGCACUAGAAGCCGAUGAAGGACGUUACUAACGACGAUAUGCUUUGGGGAGCUGUAAGUAAGCUUUGAUCCAGAGAUUUCCGAAUGGGGAAACCCAGCAUGAGUUAUGUCAUGUUAUCGAUAUGUGAAUACAUAGCAUAUCAGAAGGCACACCCGGAGAACUGAAACAUCUUAGUACCCGGAGGAAGAGAAAGAAAAUUCGAUUCCCUUAGUAGCGGCGAGCGAAACGGGAAGAGCCCAAACCAAAAAGCUUGCUUGUUGGGGUUGUAGGACACUCUAUACGGAGUUACAAAGGACGACAUUAGACGAAUCAUCUGGAAAGAUGAAUCAAAGAAGGUAAUAAUCCUGUAGUCGAAAAUGUUGUCUCUCUUGAGUGGAUCCUGAGUACGACGGAGCACGUGAAAUUCCGUCGGAAUCUGGGAGGACCAUCUCCUAAGGCUAAAUACUCUCUAGUGACCGAUAGUGAACCAGUACCGUGAGGGAAAGGUGAAAAGCACCCCGGAAGGAGAGUGAAAUAGAACCUGAAACCGUGUGCUUACAAGUAGUCAGAGCCCGUUAAUGGGUGAUGGCGUGCCUUUUGUAGAAUGAACCGGCGAGUUACGAUUUGAUGCAAGGUUAAGCAGUAAAUGUGGAGCCGUAGCGAAAGCGAGUCUGAAUAGGGCGUUUAGUAUUUGGUCGUAGACCCGAAACCAGGUGAUCUACCCUUGGUCAGGUUGAAGUUCAGGUAACACUGAAUGGAGGACCGAACCGACUUACGUUGAAAAGUGAGCGGAUGAACUGAGGGUAGCGGAGAAAUUCCAAUCGAACCUGGAGAUAGCUGGUUCUCUCCGAAAUAGCUUUAGGGCUAGCCUCAAGUGAUGAUUAUUGGAGGUAGAGCACUGUUUGGACGAGGGGCCCCUCUCGGGUUACCGAAUUCAGACAAACUCCGAAUGCCAAUUAAUUUAACUUGGGAGUCAGAACAUGGGUGAUAAGGUCCGUGUUCGAAAGGGAAAC
rnacentral:rRNA from 1 species